rnacentral:lncRNA from 1 species
GUCGCUCUCCGCCCGCCACCAGUGCAUGAGGAUGGGCAGGAAGGACACCAGGGCCGAGAUGGCCCACACGGUGCACACGAGGCCCCGCGCCCGCGCGCGCGUCAGCAGGCUCUGGUAGCGGAAGGGCGAGGUGAUGGCGAGGUAGCGGUCCAGGGCAAUGACACACAGGGUCUCGAUGCUGGCCGUCACGCACAGCACGUCCACUGAGGUCCACAGCUCGCAGAAGAAGGAGCCGUACUCCCAGCGGCCCCACACCACGAUGGUGGCCCCGAACGGCACCACCAGCAGCCCCAUGACCAGGUCGGCGCUGGCCAGGGACAUGAUGAAGAGGUUGGUGAGCGUCUGCAGCCGCGGCGUCUUGGCGAUGGCCACGAUCACCAGCACAUUGCCCGCCACGAUGAGCAGCACGAUGAGCGCCAUCAGCAGACCCAUGCCCGCUGUCCACUGCUGAGACAGCGGCUCGGGGCUUUCGCUGGCGGGAGGCAGCAACGAGGCGGGCGGCGACGCGGGCACCAGCAGCCGCGCCGCGGUGGCCGCGCCGUCGGGGAGCGGUGCGGCCGACGACAGGUUACCGGGCUCGGAGGCGCCCAGGACGAGCACCCCCGCGCCCAUGCCGAGCUGCGGAGGCCGGGGGCGGGGGGUGUGGCAGGGCUGGGCCGUGGUUGGGGAACACCCCAGAAGCCCGGGCGGCGUGGUGCGCAGAGGGAGGUCGCGGCCGGGUCAGGGCAGCCGCGGCGCGGGGCCGGAGGCAUGGGCGCCGGGCGCCUUUCCCGCAGGAGCCGAGCGCUGUCGCUGCCGCUGCCGCCGCCGCCGCCGCCGCCGCUGCUGCUGGAGCCGCUGCCGCUGCUGGAAGAGCCGCCGGGACUUCAGCAUGUUUCUGAGCGCGCCGGGCCCGCAGCUCCGGCACCCAGCACCCACCCCACCCCGCUCCCACUCCCCAAGCCAACCCCCGGGGCCUCGCGUCAGGCUCCUGCAGCCAAUCCGGGCAAAGGCACGCCCCCGUCUGGUCUGCACCCCCACCUCCAACUCCCCGCACCCCCCUCCCGUUGGCAAUUGAGCGGCUCCUGAGAGUCCCGAGCUGAUCGCGUAGCUAGUGCCUCCCGUGCGCCCGCGGGUUCCUGCGGACGCACCCCUUCCUGCGCCCGCUGGUUCCUGGUCCCUGUUCCCCCGCGCCCCCUUCCGCGCCUGGCUCCCCCCGGGGCCCCGUCCCCUCCCUCAGCCCCCACUCGCUCCCGCACCCACUCCUGCGCCCCGUUUGCCUCCCGCACCCGCUCCUGCGCCCCGUUUGCCUCCCGCACCCGCUCCUGCGCCCCGUUUGCCUCCAGCACUCGGCUCCCUCCUGCGCCCCCGCUCCCCCCGCAUCCCCUCGACCUGCAGUUCCGGGGUUCUCUGCGGAACAGAGCGCUAGCUCCCUUGAGCGGGGAGGGGACCUUGGUGUUCAGGAAGCGCCAGAGCGCCUGGGACAGCUUGUCCGCCAGGCUUGGAGGAGUUUGCCCUGCGAGCUUGGUUGUGAUGUGGGGCAGCCUAGCAGGGUGUGUGUAAAACCCUUCCCCCGUCAAGACGGGACCCAGCCAGCAUGCGUCGUGACAGCUUGGGGGAUUGGAGGUGGGUGUUAGUGGUUAGAAGAAACUUCCCAGCAGAGCGGGUUGCUGGAGCCAAGCGCGCAUCUGUCAAGAAUGCUCUCUGGGCGCUGUUCUUGCAAGGAUCCUCUGUUGAACCUCGAGUGCAGUAGAUGUGGAAAGGAAGCGAAGGUUUGUGCAUCUAACAGCUAACGCUGAGGGCCCUUUGGAAUCGUACACACUCCUCAGUCCUAGCUAAUGAACGUGUGAGCAUGAUGCAAAAAUGUAUGCUCAUGAUAUGAAAGGAGAGGCUUAGGGAGACAGAAACGUUGAGAUACAGAGUAAACGAUACCACCGCGAGGGGGAAAAAACGCGUUUAAUUACAUUUUAGACUUUUCAAUGAUAACACCUGUAUUUUGUGUUUUAUUACUCAUGUGAUUUUAUAAUUUGAGCUGGGUCAAUACAAACAAAAAGGUACUGUCAGUUUAUGCUGACGUAAUGAACUGCGAUUUCAGAUUCCUUGGUCUGCGUGCUUGUUUUCUCCUUUGCCCAAGUUCCCAGAUUCUCAAAACUCUGAGAUUAGUUUUGAAGGGAUGAGACAAGAAAACAUAUAAAUACUCCAGAGGAUUAAAAUCCAAAAGCAUUUAAAGUUGUAUCUGUGGUUUUUUUUUUUUUUUUUUUUGAGUUGGCAAAUGAAUUGCUUUGAAAUUAGUGAGUUGUUAACCUGGCAAAAAGGAUUAUACUGGGGGUGAGGGGACAAGAAAGCCAUGAAUAUGCAAUAUGGCAGGACUGCAAGCCCCUUCUCUAAUUUGGCUCCUGUAGUGUCCUCAGCUCAGGCCUGAAAUAAAAAAAAAAAUAAAAAAAUUAAAAAAAUCUCUAAUUGAGUCCUUGAGGAGUAAACAGCUUCUAAUUGUUUAUGUAAGGGUGCAUGAAAAUGUUAUAUAAUGCUCACAGGUCCUUCUAGCAUUGGAAUAAGAACAGCGCCCGUAACGAACAUCAUGUUCGUUGAUGGUCAUCAAUAUGACCAAGCUCAUAUCCUUACCUUGCAAGGAGAGACCGACUUCCACAGCUGUCCAGGUCAAAAGCAAAAAGUAAUGUUUUUCAAGUUUAUAUAAAAUCAAGCAGUUUUAACCACUUUCUCUUACAUAAAUGCAAACAUAUGAAUUUGCUUUAGGCCCAAACCUCAGCAUCAGUAUGUUAAAACUGGGGAGUGAUUUGUUUAUUCACCCCCUGCCCAUGAUUUAUCAGCUGAUUUUCCAACUUGGGGAGGUUGAGGAGGAGUGGCCAGGAAACAAGAGGCGUUAGAAAGGGGAGGAAGGAGACUACACCCCAAGUUAUCCAAGUCACUGAAAGCCUGAGACUCCUGGCUUCUUUCUUUUUAUUUUUUUGAGACAGAGUUUCACUUUUGUUGCCCAGGCUGGAGUUCAGUGGCGUGAUCUUGGCCCACUGCAACCUCUGCCUCCCGGGUUCAAGUGAUUCUCCUGCCUCAGCCUGUCAAGUAGCUGGGAUUACAGGCGUGUGCCGCCACACACGGCUAAUUUUGUAUUUUUAGUGGAGAUGGCGUUUUACCAUGUUGGUCAGGCUGGUCUCGAACUCCUGACCUCAGGUGAUCCACCCACCUUGGCCUCCCAAAGUGCUGGGAUUAGAGGCAUGAGCCACUGUCCCCGGCCUCCUGGCUUCCUUCUGGACCCACAAGGGGCAGUCUCAAAAUAGCCAAGGGAUUGGAAGAAGUUGAAAUUGACGCUGCCCAGGAAAGGAGUUCUGAGUGCUGAGCUGCAGGGUGAGGCAUAGGGAAUGUGGGGAAGAGGCUUUUCCUUGCCAUCUUUCUGUCAAGUGGUGUUACCGGAAUAGAGUGUGUCAACCUUAAAUGCCCCCGAAGGGUGGAAGGCAUUGCUUUUCUGUGUGCGAUAAGGCCAGAACUUGGUCGUAGAGGUUCAGGGCAGAAGCCAGAUUGCCAGUAACUUUGCCGUAUCAUCAUUAUAUAUAUAAACACAUCGUGACAUUGGAAUUGUUGGAAAACUUUCCUGAAACUUUUUUUCUCUGCUCAUUCAGAGAUACAUCAAGUUUCUCCGAAUUUCUGUAUAAUACAUUAAAUUAUAAACCCUCGAAACCAGAAGGUUAUUCUAGCAGGAGUACCAGUACAGGGAUCUCAGGAAUUCUGGGGGAUUUCCUUCAAUUUUACUGACAGAAGAGUUUGGAAUAGUACAUGUUCAACUAGAGUUGGUUGUCUAAUAAAAAUAAAAUGUUCUCAGAA